UACAGAGGGUGCAAGCGUUGUUCGGAAUUAUUGGGCGUAAAGGGCGCGUAGGCGGUGCUAUAAGUCUGUGGUGAAAUCUCCCGGCUCAACUGGGAGGGUGCGCCGAAUACUGAGAGGCUAGAGUGUGGGAGAGGAAAGUGGAAUUCCUGGUGUAGCGGUGAAAUGCGUAGAUAUCAGGAGGAACACCGGUGGUGUAAACGGCUUUCUGGACCAUAACUGACGCUGAGGCACGAAAGCGUGGGUAGCAAACAGG
rnacentral:rRNA from 1 species